AAAUUGAAGAGUUUGAUCAUGGCUCAGAUUGAACGCUGGCGGCAGGCCUAACACAUGCAAGUCGAGCGGUAGCACAGAGAGCUUGCUCUCGGGUGACGAGCGGCGGACGGGUGAGUAAUGUCUGGGAAACUGCCUGAUGGAGGGGGAUAACUACUGGAAACGGUAGCUAAUACCGCAUAAUGUCGCAAGACCAAAGUGGGGGACCUUCGGGCCUCAUGCCAUCAGAUGUGCCCAGAUGGGAUUAGCUAGUAGGUGGGGUAAUGGCUCACCUAGGCGACGAUCCCUAGCUGGUCUGAGAGGAUGACCAGCCACACUGGAACUGAGACACGGUCCAGACUCCUACGGGAGGCAGCAGUGGGGAAUAUUGCACAAUGGGCGCAAGCCUGAUGCAGCCAUGCCGCGUGUGUGAAGAAGGCCUUCGGGUUGUAAAGCACUUUCAGCGGGGAGGAAGGCGGUGAGGUUAAUAACCUCACCGAUUGACGUUACCCGCAGAAGAAGCACCGGCUAACUCCGUGCCAGCAGCCGCGGUAAUACGGAGGGUGCAAGCGUUAAUCGGAAUUACUGGGCGUAAAGCGCACGCAGGCGGUCUGUCAAGUCGGAUGUGAAAUCCCCGGGCUCAACCUGGGAACUGCAUUCGAAACUGGCAGGCUAGAGUCUUGUAGAGGGGGGUAGAAUUCCAGGUGUAGCGGUGAAAUGCGUAGAGAUCUGGAGGAAUACCGGUGGCGAAGGCGGCCCCCUGGACAAAGACUGACGCUCAGGUGCGAAAGCGUGGGGAGCAAACAGGAUUAGAUACCCUGGUAGUCCACGCCGUAAACGAUGUCGAUUUGGAGGUUGUGCCCUUGAGGCGUGGCUUCCGGAGCUAACGCGUUAAAUCGACCGCCUGGGGAGUACGGCCGCAAGGUUAAAACUCAAAUGAAUUGACGGGGGCCCGCACAAGCGGUGGAGCAUGUGGUUUAAUUCGAUGCAACGCGAAGAACCUUACCUGGUCUUGACAUCCACAGAACUUUCCAGAGAUGGAUUGGUGCCUUCGGGAACUGUGAGACAGGUGCUGCAUGGCUGUCGUCAGCUCGUGUUGUGAAAUGUUGGGUUAAGUCCCGCAACGAGCGCAACCCUUAUCCUUUGUUGCCAGCGGUUCGGCCGGGAACUCAAAGGAGACUGCCAGUGAUAAACUGGAGGAAGGUGGGGAUGACGUCAAGUCAUCAUGGCCCUUACGACCAGGGCUACACACGUGCUACAAUGGCAUAUACAAAGAGAAGCGACCUCGCGAGAGCAAGCGGACCUCAUAAAGUAUGUCGUAGUCCGGAUUGGAGUCUGCAACUCGACUCCAUGAAGUCGGAAUCGCUAGUAAUCGUAGAUCAGAAUGCUACGGUGAAUACGUUCCCGGGCCUUGUACACACCGCCCGUCACACCAUGGGAGUGGGUUGCAAAAGAAGUAGGUAGCUUAACCUUCGGGAGGGCGCUUACCACUUUGUGAUUCAUGACUGGGGUGAAGUCGUAACAAGGUAACCGUAGGGGAACCUGCGGUUGGAUCACCUCCUUA
rnacentral:rRNA from 1 species